CUAUCUGCCUGUGUGUGUGUGUGACUAUCUGUCUGUGUGUGUGUGUGACUGCCUGCCUCUGUGUGUGACUGUCUGCCUGUGUGUGUGUGUGUGAGACCGUCUGCUUGUGUGUGUUUUACUGUCUGCCUGUGUGUGUGACUGCCUGUGUGACACUGUAUGUGUGUGUGUGUCUGUCUCUGUGUGUGUGGAUGUCUUUGUGUGUCUGUACAUCUGCUAACGAUUGAGCUUCUGUGUGUG